AUGGGUGGAUGCUCCGCUCCAAACUGCUCGAACUCUACAACUAUUGGAAAGCAGCUCUUUCGCUUUCCGAAAGAGCCCGUGCGCAUGAGAAAGUGGCUUGUAAACUGUCGGCGUGAUUUUGUACCGACCCCCUGCUCCAGACUGUGCCAGGACCACUUUGAAGAAAGCCAGUUUGAGGAGAUCGCCAGAUCACCAGCAGGGGGAAGGAAACUCAAACCCAACGCAAUCCCCACACUCUUCAAUGUUCCCGACCCUCCCUCUCCUGUCACCCCUCAAGCAGUGUUACCUGUUAAAAAUGAGCCAGUGGAAAAGGACUUGAACAUGGGGGACCAUGGUUAUGCCCGCCGACAGCCGCUGGUGGAUUCGGAGGAGGAUGGGGUUCAGAGGGCAGACGAGGAGCGACCUUGCUCGCUCUGCCAGCAUUAUAAAACCAAACUGGAGCAGCAACAGCAGCACACCGUCAGACUACAGAGAGAGGCAGAGGAAAUGAAGAAACGGCUUUAUAAACUGAGUAAAAUAGAGAAGGGGCUACAGGUGUUUCUGUUUGAGGAUCAGAUACGUGCCCUAACGCUAGCCAAGCGUUCUCGGAGGGCAGUGUGGUCUCAUGGUACUUUACUGACAGCCCGUAAAAUCCGCUGCGCUGUGGGGGUUAAAGGAUACGAGUACCUAAGGGAACUGGGCUACCCUUUGCCUUCUUACAGGACGCUGUGUAAUCGCCUGGAGCCCAAAAUGAUGGUGACCACGAGUAUGCAGGACGAACUAGCAGAGCUCGGCCUGGGCAUCAUAACAGCUUGUGACAGUCCAGAGGGCAACGUGACGAGUGAUGAAGGACUGAUUGGAGUCAUGACCUGA
ensembl:lncRNA